UACGUAGGGCGCAAGCGUUGUCCGGAAUUAUUGGGCGUAAAGAGCUCGUAGGCGGCUUGUCACGUCGGGUGUGAAAGCCCGGGGCUUAACCCCGGGUCUGCAUUCGAUACGGGCAGGCUAGAGUGUGGUAGGGGAGAUCGGAAUUCCUGGUGUAGCGGUGAAAUGCGCAGAUAUCAGGAGGAACACCGGUGGCGAAGGCGGGUCUCUGGGCCGAAACUGACGCUGAGGAGCGAAAGCGUGGGGAGCAAACAGG
rnacentral:rRNA from 1 species